UUAAUAUAUAUUUUAAAUCUUAUAAAAUUAAAACGAUAUAGAAAAUAUUAGUAUGGUUCAUGCGGGAGGAUGACACACACAAAUCGAAAAUGAUCCAUUUUUAU